GAAAACUAUUUUUGCAUGUGUUUGGAAAAAAAGAAAAUGCCAUUAAAAAAAUAAAAAAUAAAGAAUAAGAUGCAAAUUUGGAGACAUGGUCAAUGUGGGAUGGUAAACUCCAUCUAAGGCUAAAUACCGGCACGAGACCAAUAGUCAACAAGUACCGUAAGGGAAAGUUGAAAAGAACUUUGAAGAGAGAGUUCAAGAGGACGUGAAACCGUUGAGAGGUGCCUGUGGACAGUGUGAGGCCGGUAGCGGCCCCCGGCGCACCGGGACCAGAUCUUCUUGGAGUCGGGUUGCUUGGGAAUGCAGCCUAAAGCGGGUGGUAAACUUUUGUUUAGGGUUUAUGUUUUUAUUUUUCUUUUUUCUUUGAGGGGGACUAAGAAGGAGAAAAAAUAAAUGCUUGUUGAUUUUUAAUUUUUUUUUCAUUUUAAAAGAUAAAAACAAAAAAUUUAGAGUAAGGAGACCACAAAGUACUGAUGUAAUUGGACAACACUUACUGGUAAAAGUCAGCCUCUUUGGCGACCUCCUCACAUCUCUUCAGGGUCUUGGUAUGCUGGUUCUGGAGGGACUGAAGAUCUGACAUAGCCCUCAUGCACUGAAUCUUGAGUCUCUC
rnacentral:ncRNA from 1 species